UCCCUGGAGGACUAGAGGUUAGGCCUCAGUACUCUAACCACUGUGGCCCUGGUUUGAUUCCUGGCAGGGAA